UCUGGUUUGAGGAGCGGGUGGGGCUGAGGUUUUCUUGGGUCCGGUGUCUGACCUGUAGGCGACUGCAGUAUUUUGGGAACCCCCAUACCUGACGGGCGCAUGACAGGAAGUGUGCGGACCCCACUCCUGAUGGGUGACAUGUAGUGAAGGAAUGUUCAAUCUUAGUGUUCAUGGGAAUGACCGAGACAGCAGGAAGAUCUCUAAGUUCUGAAGAAUCCAGGUUUGAAAAUGGAGAUGUAUGAAACUCUCGGAAAAGUGGGAGAGGGAAGUUAUGGAACAGUCAUGAAAUGUAAACAUAAGGAUACUGGGCAGAUAGUGGCCAUUAAGAUAUUUUAUGAGAAACCAGAAAAAUCUGUCAACAAAAUUGCAACGAGAGAAAUAAAGUUUUUAAAGCAAUUUCAUCAUGAAAACCUGGUCAAUCUGAUUGAAGUUUUUAGACAGAAAAAGAAAAUUCAUUUGGUGUUUGAAUUUAUUGACCACACAGUAUUAGAUGAGUUACAACAUUAUUGUCACGGACUGGAGAGUAAACGACUUAGAAAAUACCUGUUCCAGAUCCUUCGGGCAAUUGAAUAUCUUCACAAUAAUAAUAUCAUUCAUCGAGAUAUAAAACCUGAGAAUAUUUUAGUAUCCCAGUCAGGAAUUACUAAGCUCUGUGAUUUUGGUUUUGCACGAACUCUAGCAGCUCCUGGGGACAUUUAUACGGACUAUGUGGCCACACGCUGGUAUAGAGCUCCAGAAUUAGUAUUAAAAGAUACCUCUUAUGGAAAACCUGUAGAUAUCUGGGCUUUAGGUUGUAUGAUCAUUGAGAUGGCCACUGGAAAUCCCUAUCUUCCUAGCAGCUCUGAUUUGGAUUUACUUCAUAAAAUUGUUUUAAAAGUAGGCAAUUUGACACCUCAUUUACAGAAUAUCUUUUCCAAGAGUCCCAUUUUUGCUGGGGUGGUCCUUCCUCAAGUUCAACACCCCAAAAAUGCAAGAAAAAAAUACCCAAAGCUAAAUGGAUUGUUGGCAGAUAUAGUUCAUGCUUGUUUACAAAUUGAUCCUGCUGAGAGGACAUCGUCAACUAAUCUUUUGCAUCAUGAGUAUUUUACUAGAGAUGGAUUUAUAGAAAAAUUUAUACCAGAACUGAGAGCUAAAUUACUACAGGAAGCAAAAGUCAAUUCAUUCAUAAAGCCAAAAGAGAAUUCUAAAGAAAAUGAACUUAUGAAAGAUGAAAGGAAAACAACUUCUACCAAUACAUUGUUAAGUACUCCAAUUUUGGGAAAGGAAAUGGAAAAAGAGAAAAGGCACAAGGAGAUCAAAGUCAGAGUUAUUAAAGUCAAAGGAGGAAAAGGAGAUAUCUUAGAAUCAAAAAAGACAGAGUGUGAAGGUGGACAUUGUCAACAGGAUGCAAUUGAAAAUGUUCAUACUAUAUCUCAAGACACAAAAUCUAUAAUCAGUGAACUACCAAACCCUGUCAAUCCCGGCACUAACUCUAAUGGAAUGAAAAAUGAUCCACAUGCUGGAGGUAGUAUGAUGAUGCCACCUAUCAGUCUAACUAGCAGUAAUUUGGUGGCUUCAAAUCCCAAGUCACAUCUUUCCCACUCCAAGAGCCAAAUGGAGAAGGGUAUAUUUAAUGAGCGAACAGGUCAAAAUGACCAAAUAGCAAAUGGAAACAAAAGAAAGCUGAAUUUUUCCAGAUCUGACAGGAAGGAAUUCCAUUUCCCAGAACUGCCUUUCACGAUACAGCCCAAGGAGAUGAAAGGAAUGGAAGGUUUCCAUGAUUUGCAACUUUAUUCUGGUUGGUGUUGGAAAGGCAGGCUUGAAUGACCAUCCUAGUCCCAGUAGAGCAACAGUAUCUGCCAUCCCACAUGCUCUUCUGGAACUUUGCCUUUGCCUCUGUAAAGCUGGAGUCUGAUUCUACUCUCUUUGAGUCUGGCUGAGGAAUUCUGGAUAUCCUUUAAGAUGUAGCUCAAGCAUCAGCUUCUGUGGAAGUACUUCCCAAGCUGCCCCAAGUAACGAUGCCAUUCCUCUUCUGUACGUGUUUAAUAAAUACGUUUACCUGUA